rnacentral:rRNA from 1 species
AUACGUAGGUGGCAAGCGUUGUCCGGAUUUAUUGGGCGUAAAGCGAGCGCAGGCGGUUUUUUAGGUCUGAUGUGAAAGCCUUCGGCUUAACCGGAGAAGUGCAUCGGAAACCGGGAGGCUUGAGUGCAGAAGAGGACAGUGGAACUCCAUGUGUAGCGGUGAAAUGCGUAGAUAUAUGGAAGAACACCAGUGGCGAAGGCGGCUGUCUGGUCUGUAACUGACGCUGAGGCUCGAAAGCAUGGGUAGCGAACAGGAUUAGAUACCCUGGUAGUCCAUGCCGUAAACGAUGAGUGCUAAGUGUUGGAGGGUUUCCGCCCUUCAGUGCUGCAGCUAACGCAUUAAGCACUCCGCCUGGGGAGUACGACCGCAAGGUUGAA